rnacentral:rRNA from 1 species
UUGGGAACGCGCCCUUCGGUUCGGGAUAACCCAGGGAAACUUGGGCUAAUACCGGAUACGCCCUUACGGGGAAAGAUUUAUUGCCGAAGGAACGGCCCGCGUCCGAUUAGCUAGUUGGUGAGGUAACGGCUCACCAAGGCGACGAUCGGUAGCUGGUCUGAGAGGAUGACCAGCCUCACUGGGACUGAGACACGGCCCAGACUCCUACGGGAGGCAGCAGUGGGGAAUAUUGGACAAUGGGCGCAAGCCUGAUCCAGCCAUGCCGCGUGGGUGAUGAAGGCCCUAGGGUUGUAAAGCCCUUUCAGCGGGGAAGAUAAUGACGGUACCCGCAGAAGAAGCCCCGGCUAACUUCGUGCCAGCAGCCGCGGUAAUACGAAGGGGGCUAGCGUUGCUCGGAAUUACUGGGCGUAAAGCGCACGUAGGCGGCUUUCUAAGUCGGGGGUGAAAUCCUGGAGCUCAACUCCAGAACUGCCUUCGAUACUGGAAAGCUCGAGUCCGGGAGAGGUGAGUGGAACU